CCUACGGGAGGCAGCAGUGGGGAAUAUUGCACAAUGGGCGAAAGCCUGAUGCAGCAACGCCGCGUGAGCGAUGAAGGCCUUCGGGUCGUAAAGCUCUGUCCUCAAAGAAGAUAAUGACGGUACUUGAGGAGGAAGCCCCGGCUAACUACGUGCCAGCAGCCGCGGUAAUACGUAGGGGGCUAGCGUUAUCCGGAAUUACUGGGCGUAAAGGGUGCGUAGGUGGUUUCUUAAGUCAGAGGUGAAAGGCUAGGGCUCAACCGUAGUAAGCCUUUGAAACUGGGAAACUUGAGUGCAGGAGAGGAGAGUGGAAUUCCUAGUGUAGCGGUGAAAUGCGUAGAUAUUAGGAGGAACACCAGUGGCGAAGGCGGCUCUCUGGACUGUAACUGACACUGAGGCACGAAAGCGUGGGGAGCAAACAGGAUUAGAUACCCCGGUAGUC
rnacentral:rRNA from 1 species